rnacentral:rRNA from 2 species
UUUAAAUGUAAAUAUUUAUACUAAAGUAGUAAUAGUUAUGUUCUUUAAAUUUAAAGAUUUUGGCGGUAUUUUAGUCUAUUCAGAGGAACCUGUUCUAUAAUUGAUAGUCCACGAAUUACUUUACUUUAUUUAAAAAUUUGUAUAUCGUCGUUUUUAAGAAUUUUAUAAGAAUUAAAAUUUUUAAAAUUUUUUAUUUAAAAAUAUAUCAGAUCAAGGUGCAGUUUAUAAUAAAGAAGAAAUGGGUUACAAUAAAUUUAUUUAAACGGAUUAAUAAAUGAAAAUUUUGUUUUGAAGGAGGAUUUGAUAGUAAUAAAAUUAAAUUUAAUUUUAUGAUUUUAGCUCUAAAAUAUGU